rnacentral:tRNA from 1 species
GGCGCGGUAGCUUAGCUGGAAAAGCACUCUUCAAGCAUACGAGAGUCGUGGGUUCGAAUCCCACUUGAGCAA